rnacentral:rRNA from 1 species
AUAGCGUAUAUUAAAGUUGUUGCAGUUAAAAAGCUCGUAGUUGAACUUCAGACCUGGCCGGACGGUCUGCCUAACGGUAUGUACUGUCUGGCUGGGCCUUACCUCUUGGUGAGCCGGCAUGCCCUUCACUGGGUGUGUCGGGGAACCAGGACUUUUACCUUGAGAAAAUUAGAGUGUUCAAAGCAGGCUUAUGCUCGAAUACAUUAGCAUGGAAUAAUAAAAUAGGACGUGCGGUUCUAUUUUGUUGGUUUCUAGAGUCGCCGUAAUGAUUAAUAGGGAUAGUCGGGGGCAUCAGUAUUCAAUUGUCAGAGGUGAAAUUCUUGGAUUGACUGAAGACUAACUAUUG